rnacentral:lncRNA from 1 species
CUCUAUGAAUGCGUUGGCUUGUUAGAAGCCCAAAGCGGUGGGUGUAAUGGUAUGCGAGCUGACCUUGAAUAUAGCCACUGUGGGUUGCCCCAGCUUUUUUGUAAAAGAAGCAUUUGCAGCAGAGGUUUGGAUUUCAGGCUUUGCAGUCAUCAAUCAUCUCAGCCUAUUCUCCUCUUUGACAGCUCUGUACAAGGCCUGACAUUUGACACCCAAGACCCCAGGACUUGCACAGAGGCACAAGCUGAGGCCCUAGGGAGGAGCUGGGAGGAGAAUAUCCAUCAUUUCCAGAUGUGGACAUAUGAUCCAGGAGGCAAUUGAAGGUCUGUGGUUUAAGAAGUUACCUAGUCUUCUCCUGCUCAUGCUCCACUAAUGAUAGUAAGUUGACUGUGAUGUUAACACUGAAAUCAUUUGCACAGACAGGCUAAAUAGAUCAUGCCCUUCCUGAGCCUUGAGUCUAUAUUUUACAAACAGCACCAUAUGGUUAAUAUUUAUGCCAACCAGUCAAGUGUUUAUUAAAGCAGAGUCUGGGGAGAUGAGGAGGAGAACUG